rnacentral:rRNA from 1 species
ACGGAAGGCAGCAGUGGGGAAUAUUGCACAAUGGGGGAAACCCUGAUGCAGCGACGCCGCGUGAGUGAAGAGGUAUUUCGGUAUGUAAAGCUCUAUCAGCAGGAAAGAAAAUGACGGUACCUGACUAAGAAGCCCCGGCUAACUACGUGCCAGCAGCCGCGGUAAUACGUAGGGGGCAAGCGUUAUCCGGAUUUACUGGGUGUAAAGGGAGCGUAGACGGCUUUGCAAGUCUGAAGUGAAAGCCCGGGGCUCAACCCCGGAACUGCUUUGGAAACUGUAGAGCUAGAGUGCAGGAGAGGUAAGUGGAAUUCCUAGUGUAGCGGUGAAAUGCGUAGAUAUUAGGAGGAACACCAGUGGCGAAGGCGGCUUACUGGACUGUAACUGACGUUGAGGCUCGAAGGCGUGGGGAGCAAACAGGAUUAGAUACCCUGGUA